AAUCUGCGUUCGCGUUUUACGUUUUCUUUCCUAAUGUGCGGGUCCCACCGCCACAUCAUCAUCUUCAAGCCUCAGCCAUGGAAUAACCGCACGCACGACCUCGUCCGUUUUCAGUUUCUUUGCGUUUACUCUCGACUUGAUUCCCGGCGAUUUAAGCCACCAUUUAACGAGCGGUUUGUUCCUACUUAAACCCCACUCACUCCUCUCUAUUUCCCCUCUCAUUUCUCGCCAAAUAGUGCCCCAAGGCUGCUCGAUUCCGUCGUCGAACUCCGCAGUUCUGCCGCCGUUCGUCGACGAUUUCCGCGAGCGAAUCAACGUCGCUGUCAUUCUACAUCUCGCCGGCGGUCACACGAACUCCGUCCGCUCCCCAACGACGCCAUGGAAUCAGGAGUGGUGCCGAGGAGGUCAUCGGGGCCGCCUUGAAGCCCGCGUCUCCUCGCCUAUCUUCCUCCAUCGUCGGACACGGAGACCACCCGAGCGGCAUCGUCGACGACGCGCACAGCAGCUCCAUCCACAUCCACAAACUCUGCAUCCUCGGUAUUGCCUUCGUGCGUAUGUGUAAGUCUGAAAACGUACUGUCUAGAUUAAAGAGUAAUCAGGGCAGUCAGCCGUAGAUCGUUAGAUCCAUAUCUGAGGGUCCUCGUUCAUCACGUUAGCUGAGAUGAAUCAACACACGUGCAUACCUAUCGAUCAAUCCUUGGCAUAUAGCUAGCUCAAAAUCGAUCGACAACUUCUAAAAUUUAUAUUAUGAGUUUUGUAACUCCGUUUUAGAUGAUUCUCCGAACCUUGAGUUCGUAAUCAAAUUCCCUAUCCGCUAAUAUAAGUUUUUCAAAUUUC